rnacentral:rRNA from 1 species
GAUGAACGCUAGCGGCAGGCCUAACACAUGCAAGUCGAGGGGUAUAGUUCUUCGGAACUAGAGACCGGCGCACGGGUGCGUAACGCGUAUGCAAUCUACCUUUUACAGGGGAAUAGCCCAGAGAAAUUUGGAUUAAUGCCCCAUAGUGUUAUAGAAUCGCAUGGUUUUAUAACUAAAGUUCCAACGGUAAAAGAUGAGCAUGCGUCCCAUUAGUUAGUUGGUAAGGUAACGGCUUACCAAGACAAUGAUGGGUAGGGGUCCGUGAGAGGGAGAUCCCCCACCACUGGUACGUGAGACACGGACCGACGACUCCUA